rnacentral:rRNA from 1 species
CCCUUAGAUGUUCUGGGCCGCACGCGCGCUACACUGAUGCAUUCAACAAGUUUUACCUUGGCCGAGAGGCCUGGGAAAUCUUUCAAAUAUGUAUCGUGAUAGGGAUAGAUUAUUGCAAUUAUUAAUCUUGAACGAGGAAUUCCUAGUAAAUGCAGAUCAUCAUUCUGCGUUGAUUACGUCCCUGCCCUUUGUACACACCGCCCGUCGCACCUACCGAUUGAAUGAUCCGGUGAAGCCUCGGGAUUGUGCCCAGAGAACUUUAUUGCGAUUUGGGUGUGAGAACUUGUCUAAACCUUAUCAUUUAGAGGAAGGUGAAGUCGUAACA